rnacentral:lncRNA from 1 species
UGUAUAUUCUUGUGAAGUAUUCAGUCCUUUAUAUAGGCAUUGAGAAGGACCGUUGGAGUGAUGACAGGAUCUUGGUCAUUGAAGAAUGUUUUUUGUCAUUACUCUCCUUGUUUCUUUCUAAAACAGUUUUUGUGUGCCUCAUUAUUUCCUUCUAGAAAUAAUUUCUUUCCAAAACCAGAUUUCUUUUCGAUUAUGUGUUAUGAACUGGUGAAUCUGUAUCAGAGUCUUGGUAAAUCAGAUUUUAACGUUAGAG